CCUACGGGGGGCAGCAGUGAGGAAUAUUGGUCAAUGGACGAGAGUCUGAACCAGCCAAGUAGCGUGAAGGAUGACUGCCCUAUGGGUUGUAAACUUCUUUCAUAUGGGAAUAAAACGUUCCACGUGUGGGAUUUUGUAUGUACCAUAUGAAUAAGGAUCGGCUAACUCCGGGCCAGCAGCAGCGGUAAUACGGAGGAUCUGAGCGUUAUCCGGAUUUAUUGGGUUUAAGGGGAGCGUAGGUGGAUUGUUAAGUUAGUUGUGAAAGCUUGCGGCUCAACCGUAAAAUUGCAGUUGAAACUGGCAGUCUUGAGUACAGUAGAGGUAGGCGGAAUUCGUGGUGUAGCGGUGAAAUGCUUAGAGAUCACGAAGAACUCCGAUUGCGAAGGCAGCUUACUAAACUGCCACUGACAUUGAUGCUCGAAAGUGUGGGUAUCAAACAGGAUUAGAUACCCUAGUAGUC
rnacentral:rRNA from 1 species